CCCUGGCCCUCGAGGGGCGUCCGCCGCCCACCCCCGGACCCCCAGACGUGGAGCCGACCUGCAGGAGCUCCAGCAGGUGGAAAGGCCCUGCCUUAGGCGUUGGGUCGUGGGAGGCUUUACUGUUCUCUGGACAGAGCUCGCAAGGCCCCGGGGGCCGGGAGUUUGGCGACGUCUCUUGUGACCUCAACGGUCGGUGGAUGCGCAGCAGAGUCUACCUGGGAGAGGCUGGGAGGACAGGAGAGGAGCGGCCUGGAGAAGAUGCUCAGAGGUGUUCUGGAAAGUUCCAGGGAGAAGGAGAAGCCUGGGGCCUGGGCAGAAGCCUCCAGGGGAGUCGUGGGCUGACCUCAGCAACUAGGGAGUUGUCUGAAAGGGCAGGGGGCCGGGGGCUGGAUGCUGGGGGUGACCGCAGGUGUGGGACUCAGUUCCGGGUGGGAGGCGCCCACGGUGAGGUUUGGGGACCUCCCCGGCCCGGGGUGUAUGACAGUGGCCCCACAUGCCCAGGACUCCUUGAAUUUGGAUGGGGGGGGGCAGAGUCUGAUGACACAGGAAACCGUGUGGGGCUCCCUGCCGGUCUGCCCAGGGCCUGAGUCACCUGCCCCUCCAGAGAGCUGUUCCCUGGAGCAGCCGGUUUGUCUCUUCACGAUGGGGGGCAUCCCAGCAUGAGCCGGCGUCUCCACACUUAUUGUCACCAAGAUGGUCCCAAGUUCCGUUUACCUAAAGCUCUUCGGAGGCUGUAAAUGAUUUUUUCCAGAGCUGCUAGGCUUUUAAUCUGAUAAAAUGUUUCUUCCUCCUCUUCUGUGGGAAAAAUUAAACAUAAGCAUCAAGCUUUGACAUACAAUUGUAGUUUAAUUCCAAACUCGUGUCUCUCCUUCCAACCAGGAUGUCUGGUGCUCUGCCAAGGCUCUCGGCUUCUCCCCUGCACUGUUCCCAGGCCCCGUGGCCCAGUGACUCACCACGAACCUUCCAUCCCCCCAUCAGUUCAGAGAGGCACCAGGAACAUCAGUGGGAUUUCCUUUGCCAACACACACUCUGUGUGUUCACCAGCAAGUAUGCAACAGGGCUGCAUGGGUGUCUCUGCUCCUUCAUCUUCCACCCCCAA
rnacentral:lncRNA from 12 species